GGUUUUGCCAGGCCAAUCUUCUGGUAGAUUUUAAGUAUAAAAAAAGAAGAUAUCAAAACCAGAUUUAAGGCUAUCAUGAGAUAUCAGAACAAGUCUAAAAUUAAACAGGAUGCUAAUAGAACUAUUAAAAUGUUUAUGAAGCCCAGGACCAAGAAAAUAAUAAUUUGUUUCCUAUAUUUUUCUACAGAGGACUCAAGCCGGUUUAAAUUCAGUAAAAUCAUACAACUAGGUAAAAAUUAGGACAGAAGAAAAUAAUCAUACAAAUAUAAAUCCCAGAAGAGACAACAUAGGUGCUAUGAUCACAUUUUGGUUCUGAACUUCCUGACAGCCAGAAAAAGAAGGAAAAAGAGUUCCUCAAGGCAACUUUUCUUAACUAACUUCUAAAAGACGUGGUCUUGUAGAAUUUUAUAUAGAGGAAAGAGACAGAUGUAAUAGAAAAUAUUUUCAACAUUAUUGAUACAUUUGCAUUUAUAGCAAAUGCUGUAACAUAUUUUUAUGGUUAUUUCUUUUAAUGACCACUAAUAAAGGCCAAGGGCCUAGCCCCAGAAUAAAGUGUAGGGAAGGUGAUUCUAGAAAGAGUAUAAUGGAGUCUCAGUAAGUCAUGCUCUCCUUGUGAGACUUAGGUUGAGAAUUAAGUUCAAAGUGCCGUGAUAGAUUAAAUAUUCUCAUUCUCCUUAUUUUGUGCUUUAGAAACAAGUAAUCCAGUGGCAGAGUUGGUUUUCUCUUUAACUCUUUAAAAAGUAAUUUCCAAACUGUAUGCAAGUUCACCCAUCUUUGUCCAGAGUAGACCCAGAGGCAUCAUUACUACAUUGUACAACUCCACAGGCUCCUUACACAGAAGACAGUGUGAUUAGAGCUCCCUGCCAUUGUGUAAUUUCUGGCAGUGCCCAAGGAUACAGGGAACAGAAGUCGGGAUUUUACUCACGAAGCUGCUUCACAUAAUCUCUAAAUCUGAGGCAACAAGAAAACAUGGAAUAAAUAUUUUCACUAGAUAAAUUUCAUAGCUGGUGAUAGUAGUCACCAGCCAAAGUCCACAAAGAGUUUAAUAAUGAUUCCAAAGUGAUCUGAUUCUGGGAAACAUGACAUCUAGAUGUUAAAGAAAGGGAACUCUCUAGAAUUCUCUGCGGACAGUUAUUUUUUCUCUCAGCUAUCAUUUUUACUUGUGAGAAUUCUCCUAACAGUUUAUCUCUUUGCUCACUACUUUAAUAAUAAUACAAUGAUAAUAAUAAUACAAGAAGGAUAAUAAUAGCAAUAGCAUUAUCGGUACUUGCUAUUUGCCACACACUGUUCUAAGAUAUUUAGCCAUAUCAACUAAUUUAUAUUUCAUAAGACCUCAAGAACAUAAGUGCUAUUAUUUGUCCCAUCUUCCGGGAGUUGGGGGCCCGAAGUACACUAUGGUUAAGUUAUUUGUCCAAGAUCAUGCAGCAAAUACAUGGUGCAACCAAUAUUUAGACCCUGACACUCUGACUCCAGAGCCCAUCCUUUGCACAGAGACAGUGCUCAUUAAAUAUAAUAAGGCCUCCCCUAUAAUCCCCAGAACAUUUUACUAGGUAAUGAGAAUGGGGCCAAGUGACUUUUUCACCAAUAUUAAUAUAAAUAUAAGUGAUAUUAAUCACUUCCAGGAUGAGGCCAUUAAAAUCUGAUGGAUCUCCUCUAUAUUUAUCUUUUUUUGUAUAGUGACUUGGGAGCCACCUGUGAAGUGACAGUGCCACAAGGUGGAAGAAGUCUGGAUCCCAGAGUCACCAACUGGAGGACAGCACCCACCAAUCAACGAAGACUUUGCUAAAUUUCAGGCUUCAAUUUAAGGGAUCAUUUCUUAAUGUCACACAGCCUUUCCUACUUUUACUAAUACAGUGCUCUCAAGGACUACCGCACAGAUCCUCAUUCACAGCUCUAGAUCCAUUCUCUAGCUGAUUACAUCCACUAUCUUGAUUCCAAAUUUGCCAAGCUAAAUCUCUUCCAAAUUUGAGGUUGUCAUACCUAACAACCAUUUGGAGGAUGGAAAUUCAGCAUUUCUAAAUGUUUCUAUUAACUCUUCUCAAUCAGAAGUUAUUCAUCCUCCUACAUUAUCUGUUGAAUUUUGAGUGACUAUAACCACUCAGCUACUGGAACUGAGAAUUUAUGAGUUGUACUUUACUAUUCUUCUCUCUCACUGCUCAUAUGUUUUAAGAAGUCUGUGAGCCAAACAAAACCUAUUUAAUUCCCAAGGUACAAAUAAAAAAGUGUCAUCCCAGCUACCCAACUGGAUUUAGAAAAAGAAAGUAAUCGAGAUGAGGAUGAAGAUGAUGGUUCUAUAAAAAGGAAGCCUGACUUCUAUAUCCUUCCAUAAGGUAGACCUUGUAGCCUGAAUGAUCCUCCUGAUGCAAACAUAUAGAAGGUUAAUUAAAAAUCAUUGAAAAUAUUUUUAAGUAUAUCAUUUAGCUGACAUGAGAUAAGGAAUCCAAUGAAGCCAAAUAUUAAAUAAAAACAGGAUCUUGGAAAGUCAGUUAGGUUUUUGAGGGUUUCUGCUGAAUCCCAGAGAUUUUGCACUUCAAUGGCUAUACAAGGCUCAGAGUAGAUGAAAAAAUAAUAAAACAUAAAAUUUACCCAAGUUAGAAAAUGUAAUAGACAUCUCUUGGAUAAGCUGAAUCCUUGGUGAUAGUUAGGGCUAUUCUUUAACAAAUAGUCACGACCCCAUUGACAUCAGGCUUGGCCAAGUGACUCACUUCAGCCAACAGGAUGUUAGAGGAUAAGAAGAAAGCAAAGGUUUGACUGCUUCUUGCACAGUGUGACAAGCUCUCCUUUACUUCUACCACUGCCAUGAGAAGAGUAAGUUUCGGGCCUUGCUGGUAGCACGGGAUAAGAGACUUGCAGCUGGGAGCCAACCCAGCCAUAUACAGCCUUGAUUACCCAAUUCACAUCUACAGAUGGAGAAGAGAAAAUAAUUGUCAUUCCUAGCCACUGAGUUUUGGGUGACUUCUUAUGUAUUAUUGCAUUAUUGUGUUAAUAAUUGAUUGAUAUCCAUCCUAUGGGCUACAUACUCUGUGUAGGGGGAAUGAAAAACUCUCCACUGAGAAGGGGACUAUAAAGAAAAUUAUCAGCCUCAAAUCUUAAACUGGAUGGAGAGAAAAAUUAAUUUCCCCUGAGUAUUUGUAACUACAAGUCAACCUCACACAAUUUGAUAGUGUGAAUUUUUUAUUGCCUGAAUUAUUUGCCUUACUUUUCCUAGGUUAUCUUUUAGCUCUUCUAAUACCUUUUCAACUAAUUCCAUCAGUAGAAUCACCCAAUGGGGGUUUUGUUUUCUUGACUGGACCCUGACUAAUACAGUCCCAAGGAAAGCAAUCUAUAGCCUAUACCAAAGACAUAAAAGAGAGCAAACCAUAAAAGAGGAAUUGAUAAUAAUGAAGAUAAAGUGAAAAUCUCUAACAUAUUUAAUCAACUUUCUAGAAGCAUAUAAUAGACUAGAUGAUGACAAUACAGUAUAUAAAGAGAAAAUGGUUCAGCAUUUUUCAGAAUUACUGAAUUCUAUCAAUUCUCAAACUCAGGAAGUCCAAUGAAUCCCAAGCAGAAUAAAUAACAAUUUCUAAAAAUCCACACCUAGGCACAUCCUAGGGAAGCUGAAAAUCACAAAACAAUUUUAAAAGCAAUCAGAGAGAAAAUACAAUACCCCUGUAAAUGAGCUGCAAUUAGCAUGAUAACAGACUGAUCAAUAGGAAUAGUGGAAACUAAAGACAGUGCAACAACAUCACAAUAGGCCAAGAGAAAAAUAACUACUGGCAUAAAAUUCUGUAUACACAGCAGAAUAAUCUUUUCAGAAUGAGGGUGAAAUAAAGCCAUUUUCAGACAAAAAGAAAGAAACUGAAUCUGCACACUACCAACAAACCCUCUUGUCCUUUAGAUGGAAGGAACAUGCUAAAGGUGAAAGAUGAAAGAGAAACAAAAGAUGAGUUAAAAAAUGAUAACUACGUAGAUAAAUAUUAAGCAAGAAUUGACUGAGGGGUGCUUCUCAACCAUUUAAAAAUGUGUCUGGCAGUCCUAAAGCAAAGUCUCAGUACCCCUGAAGCCUAGGCAAUUUAAAGUAGCUGCAUAGUAGAGCACCUUAAGAGACGAAAGUGUAAAAUAAGUGUUAUUACCACUAACACAGUUAGUAUUAGUAGAAUUAACAUUUAUGGAUUUCUGCAAUGUCAAAGCAGAAAUUGCACCAUUUUAAUGCAAUGUCAAUGCAAAAAAAAUUAAACAGGUAAAGAAAACUUCAUUCAAGGCUAUUGCAUGAAACUAAAAACACUGCAGGCUUUCAUAAAAAACGCUCCAGGUUUUUGGAUCGCUUGAGCCCGUGAGGCAGAGAUUGCAGUGAGCCAAAAUCGCGCCAUUACACUCCAUCCUGGGCAACAGAGCAAGACUCCUUUAAAAAAAAAAAAAAAAAAAAAACCCUCCAGAUCUUUAAUUGCUGAGUCGCUGAUGUGGGAGAAUGAGAGGGGAGGGAUGAAGGGGAGACAAUAGGUCAUCUGCAUUUGCUAAUUGGCUUUACCCAGUGGAAAAGUAGACUUUUUCGUAUCUUUGUAACAAGAGGUAGCUUUACAAUUUGGAGCAAGGUGCUCACUGAAGUUGGGCUCCUUCCCUCUCACAACGACUGGGAGACAGUGGUGUGACCUUCCUUGAUCACCUUUCAAAGGGCCCAUAGACCUUGGGAAAAAUAUUCUAUGGUCUUAACACUGGUAAGAGACUUAAAAAUUUUACAAUUCAAAGGGGUAGAGAAAGGAUUUGCAAAAGUGCAAGUUAAAAGUACACGCUCUAAGAAAAGGGCAGUCAGGGCCUGCAGUCAGAAAGAAGCCUAUCUAAAGUUUACUCGGCUGAAGGGACAUUUAGGCUGCGUUGGUCAGCUGGUGUUAUGGACUGAAUUGUGUGUUUCGCCACAACGACACCGCCAAGUUCAUAUGUUGAAGCCCUAACCCCCAGUGAGACUAUUUGGAGAUGGAGCCUUUAAGGAAGUAUUUAAGGUUAAAUGAGGUCAUAAGAGUGGAACUCCGCCGGGCGCGGUGGCUCACGCCUGUAAUCCCAGCACUUUGGGAGGCCGAGGCAGGCGGAUCACGAGGUCAGGAGAUCAAGACCAUCCUGGCUAACACGGUGAAACCCCGUGUCUAAU
rnacentral:lncRNA from 10 species